CCAGCAGCCGCGGUAAUACGGAGGGUGCGAGCGUUGUUCGGAAUUAUUGGGCGUAAAGCGCACGUAGGCGGUCGGAUAAGUCUCUUGGUGAAAGGCCGGGGCUCAACCCCGUGCUUGCCGGAGAUACUGUUCGACUGGAGACAGGGAGAGGCCAGUGGAAUUCCGGGUGUAGCGGUGGAAUGCGUAGAGAUCCGGAAGAACACCGGAGGCGAAGGCGGCUGGCUGGCCCUGAUCUGACGCUGAGGUGCGAAAGCGUGGGGAGCGAA
rnacentral:rRNA from 1 species